AUCUUAAAGGAUUGGGUGCUCUUAAUCUCAGCGCUACAACUGGUGUGAACACUCCUGCCAAAACAACUCAGUAUAUAACAUCAGGAGACAGAACUACAGAGUUGAAUCUCAGCAGUCCUAAUGCUUCCAGUCCUACCACUUCUGUGAAUUCACCUUCAGGUAACUGCAAAGACAGUAGUAUUGUAAAAUAUUUUAAGUUGUGCUUUCAGCGUUAAUCUCGUUAAAAUGACAUUAACACCAUAACCACAUUAACGCAGCAAAUCUCCCUUAGCGAGUUAACGCGUUAGCGCCGUCCAGCCCCACCCACGGGGCGAUCCGCAUUAACUCACUAACAGAGAUUUGCUACGUCAAUGCGGUUAUGGUGUUUUAAGAUAUUUGAAAAGCUAACACAUCAAACGACUAGUACAGUAUAUGUUAUUUCAAAGUAAUUGUGCAAACGCUGUGGACCUUAAAGAAGCAGCUUUUCAUUUUGUAUCGGCUCACAGAUCCAAAUCAAUCUUCAGAGUCAUAUGAGACUAAUACUAGAGUGACAGUUGCUACGGUCAAAGGUCUGACUUUUACUUCGGCUCAUACUUCCACCUAUGCCACUGCUACCUCAGAAGCACUAUGGAAGUUGGCAGUAGCUGUGACUGGAUUUGGAGUAACCAUGGGUGUCAUCUUACUGGUGCUGGGGCUGCUCACAUUCAAAAGAAGAAGUGGUGAGGGCACACG
rnacentral:lncRNA from 1 species